rnacentral:snRNA from 1 species
UUACCUGGUGCCGGGAUUACCGUGAUCAGCUAGGCGGUGUCCCCAGGGAGAGGCGCGGGCAUUGCACUGCGCUCGUGCUGACCCCUGCCACUACCCCAAACUGGGGCAGAUGGGGCAUGCAAUUUUUGGUAGUGGGGGACUGCGUUCGCGCUAUCCCCCUCCAUUACUGAAUCCAAAGAAAGAUCAUGUAAGAACGUGUCCUCGCGGG